rnacentral:lncRNA from 1 species
CUUUAACGUAUUCGCUUUUACAUUUAUCUUUAGUACAUUUCAGAAUAAUUUGUUUUUUGUUCUCUUAAAAUGUAACUGAUGCCUUUUCUUUCAUCGUAAAGUUUGUGGUUGUCUAGGGAAUUAUGGUAGGAUUUUGAAGUUUACAAAUAUUUCCUUUGGUUCAUUUCAAACUGAUCAAAAUUUCACAAUUCAAUGGUCGGCUAGGUAAAAGACAAGUGGGAACGUCUCCAGCUAUAGGGCUCAGGUGGCUGCGGUGAGGAUGCUCGGCUAGACCUGUGGAGGAGUGUGGAGAGUGGGAGUCUGUGGGAAGGCUCCCCAGCCACAGGCCAAGGCCAAAUGAGCAGCACAAGUCAAGGUGGCCGGGAAAGCCACUGGCCUUUCUCUGACAGAUGUUCCUGUGACCAACAGCUCUUUCCUCUACAUGGUACUGUAAUGGCGGUGUUUGUAUGUUGACAUCCUUGACUACAUUGUGAUCUCCUUGAAGGGGACCAUUAUCAUUGGAUUUAGGGCCCACCCAGAUAAUCUGUGAUGACCUCUUCAUCUCAAGAUCCUUAACUUAAUUCUAUCUCCAAAGGCCUUCUAUACUUAUGGCUUACACGGGAAAAGAAGAGCAGAGUGGAUCCAAUGUAUUAACGCCCACUUUCCACCCUGGCUCUCGGAAGGUCAGACGCACUCAGGUCUCAGAAAAUUCUGCCCAACUUAUUUCAAGAUUACCCUGAUGCCAAAACUGGAUAAAGAAGUUACAAGAAAACCGCAGAUCAAUUGCCUUCAUGAAUAUAGAUGCAAAAAUUCUAUAAAACCUUCAUGGGCGUGGGAACAUUUAUCCACUUUAGAGUUGACUUGACUGCAUCCCAUUGACUUCAUACAAUACGAUAUGGCUGUGAUCCCAGGAACCCUAGGAAAAGAGAAGUGUCACACUACUCUAAAGUCUGAGGACUCCCUUCUGUCUCUUUACAAAGAUGACUUACUGAAGGAUCUUCCGAAUCACAUGACCAGACUUCUUAUUUGUAUU